AUAAAAAUAUUGAAUACUUCUACUUGUAUUCGUUAAGCUUAAGAGCAAAGGGGAGCUAAAUCCGAUAAAGGGAAGGAAAAAGUGGUCGAAUAGCCGUUGAAGCCGUCCGACGACAUCCGAGAUUUUGCUCGUUAGCGAUCGGAUUCGGGAUCAUUAAAGUCGAAGUCAUCUACACUAUCAAAGCCUCCAUUUUGGUAUAAUUUUGGUUGAACUUUGAAAUGGCAUGUAUAGGACUACCCUAUUGUUGAAGGUCAUGUACCUUUCGGUUUUGUGUAAGCUUGGAUAGCCAUGCGAAAAUGGCUUAUAUCGUUUUAGUAUGAUUCUAUAAUCGUUUGUAUGAUGAUCAUUAUGGGGUAUGGAAUUGUUUGAAAAGAUUAGCCAUUGGAAUGGUUAA